UGGGGAAUAUUGGACAAUGGGCGCAAGCCUGAUCCAGCCAUGCCGCGUGAGUGAUGAAGGCCCUAGGGUUGUAAAGCUCUUUCAGCGAGGAGGAUAAUGACGUUACUCGCAGAAGAAGCCCCGGCUAACUUCGUGCCAGCAGCCGCGGUAAUACGAAGGGGGCUAGCGUUGUUCGGAAUCACUGGGCGUAAAGCGCACGUAGGCGGACUUUUAAGUCAGGGGUGAAAUCCCGGGGCUCAACCUCGGAACUGCCUUUGAUACUGGAAGUCUGGAGUCCGAGAGAGGUGAGUGGAACUCCGAGUGUAGAGGUGAAAUUCGUAGAUAUUCGGAAGAACACCAGUGGCGAAGGCGGCUCACUGGCUCGGUGCUGACGCUGAGGUGCGAAAGCGUGGGGAGCAAAACAGGAUUAGAUACCCUGGUAGUCCACGCCGUAAACGAUGGAAGCUAGCCGUCAGGGUGCAUGCAUCUUGGUGGCGCAGUUAACGCAUUAAGCUUCCCGCCUGGGGAGUACGGUCGCAAGAUUAAAAACUUAAAGGAAUUGACGGGGUCAUAGCUGUUUCCU
rnacentral:rRNA from 1 species